UCAACCCUGUCCUGAGCACUGCCGCUCUCGGUGAGCUUGGAACUCCCACCCUGAACGGGGGAAGUGGGGACGCCGUCGGCCAAGCUUUCCUGCAGGUUCAGUAGCACUCACUGAGUUAGGACUUACGGACCAAGUUUCAGGCGGCCUGCCCUCCUAAGGACUACUUGUUAAAGUUUAGUCUCACCCGAAGCUCAUCACGUUUCCAUGCUUUGAUCAGGUUUUGUGUCUGAGCAGCCAAAAGUUUCUAAGAGACGGUUGUCUUUUGACUGCUUCACACGAAAGCUGGGUGACCAUGGGUAAAACAUCAACCUCUCUUACUUUGCCUUAAUAUCAAGAUGAGAAUUACUGUAAUACUGUUUGGCCCUAGAAUGUCGAAAGGUAAAUAAGAUAUUAUCAGCGUUACUAACAUUUUCUUAGCAUUUACUACUGUGUGUCGAUCCCUUUCCCAAAUGUUCUAAAUGCCACCUACUUAAUCCUCAUAAUAACAGAGUACAUAUCAUGGAUUCAUUUUAUAAAUGAAGAGUGAAAAAGACACACGGUAAGUGUUGCUGCCUUCAGGCCCAACAUCUGGUAGGUUGAGGGGUCAAGAUUUGGUCCCAGUAAACAGAAAUUUUCGUUCAGUGUGGACGUGAAAAAGAAUGUAUGUUUUUGUUUGGUUUUGAUGGGGUGGUAGUACAGAAGGUUGAACUCAGGGACUAGAAUACUCUCUGUCUUUGAGUUACACCCCAGCUGAUAAUGUGUUUGUAAUCCGUUUAUGUCUAUAACCCAGAAGGUGUCUUAGUAAUUAUUGAAUUAAUUCUAUCAUGGCUGUAGAUGUGUUCUAAACUGAAUCUUAUAGUGUCUGUAUUACUUCCCUUCCUUGUGUGUACAAGAAAAGUAGUGUGUUAGGAAGGUAGAGGAACUUUUGACUACUUUCCAUUGGUGGCUUAGAAAACUUAACCUUGUUCAGAUGAAAUUAAGUUCAUCUUGUACAAAAUGGCAGUGAUGAGAAUUGUAUGUACCUUUUAGACUGGUAGUAAACGGAAUACUGAUCAGUUCUCAUCUUAUUCCGGUGAGUGGUUGCUGUUCAUUUUAGCAUCUUUAGUUUUAACUAAAUAAUCGUGUCAAUUACAGUGGGGAGCAAAAUGAAGUUUUCGUGUACUGUAUUUGAGACAUAAUGGAUAAAGCAUGAAACUCAGAUUCUUAGAUUCUCAGUUUUAAUAUGUAUAUAUCUUAGACAUGCUGCUCAUCACAUGUUUAUGACUACGUAACUAAUAACCAAUUUUCUCUAAAUAAUAAAGAAAAUUUUGCAUCUCUUGAUAGAUUGUAAACGCUCUGUUGACUUUUACUGGUUGCGUGGUGAAGAACGCAUUCCUGCUGGUCAUCGAAAAGGCCAUAUUGAUGCUUUACGAUACCAAAUAAAUGACAAACCACACAACCAGAUUCGAAUAUCUAAGCAACUCCCAGAGGUAAGAGUUUUGUAUCUGUUGGCAUCCGGUGUGAGCAUUGCCAAAAGGCAAUCAGGUAACUGGUUGACUGUGGUGAGGUAUGUUGGUAGAUUUCUUGCCUUCCAUGUUUGUUCAUGAUGGCAACUUUUCUGGAAGUCUUUUUCAACUCUCUAGUUUGGAGUGUUAUGUUCUACCAAGAUCAAGUAGGUAAAUCAAUUUAUGAUAGUUUAUUAUAGCAGGAUUUUUAAAAACUUUCUCCAUAUGACCGCUUUAGUCCCAUCAGCAGAUGUUAGUGCCGGUGAGCUCUUCUGUUUUGACAGUGCUGAUUGAAACACUGCAGAAGUCAGAGCAUCUCAGACUUAGCAUUUGAUUUAGGAACGUCCGUCUCGCAGGCUCUGAAUGUUCCCAACUUUGGAAACAUGAAGUUUGAAACACUUCAGACUUUUGAUUCAGAGAUACUCAAUUUGUAUAAUAAGAUUAUUUUGUAAAGAAUAACUCAUUGAAAAAGUUUAAAGGUAAGCUAGUGUAAAUGAGGUGGAUACAGUGUUUCUGACUUCCCUGUCUGUUUUUUUAUUCUUCAAGUUUGUGCCAUUGGAUUACUCCAUCCCUACAGAAAUCCCUGUGAUGAAAUGUAAACCAGACAAGCUUCCAUUGUUCAGACGGCAGUAUGAAAACAGUAUAUUUACUGGUAAGUUUCUCUUUACAUUUUGACCCAUAGAAGAUAUAUGGGGAAGUUUAAUUUUGAAUUAUUAUAUUUUAUUUUAUUUUUUCUGGUGGAGAUAGGGUUUCUGUGUCUUAGUAGCCCUGCUUGGCCCUGAAGUUGGGGCAGGAGCCCCCUUGCCUCUUCCCUUCCUACCGUAGGAUGGUAUAUUGCCACACCUAGCUCAGUUUCAAUUCUUAAAGACUCAGAAGGUUAAUUGGCUAUGAGCAAUACUGUUCAUAAUCUGAAGGUAUUAUAACAUAAAUGAAAAUUGGAGAGAAAUUUAGCUCUUAAUUUGAAAGUUUUGUGUUUGCUGCAUGACGUGGGGUCAUGAGUGGCCUUCCAUUGACGCAUCCUGCUCAUUCUACACCUCGUAGGAACAUCAGGAGGUCAAGCACUUGUAGGCCCUCACACACCUUGAUGUUCUCAACAAAGGCCUUCAGAAGCAUUGUCAUAGUCCUCCAGGCCAUUGUAUUAGUGCUUUCUCAGUCACUUAGUCUUAGUGACUGGGAAUUGUUUUAAAACUGCUCUAGCAAUGAAGUGGAGUGUGUCUGCAUUUCAUGGAAGCUGGACUGCCAAUCCUUUCCGCCUUUGCCUUGCACUUCCCUUUCUGUCCGACAUUUUUACCCACUGGUCUUGUUUGUUUCUCUUUCUGCCUUUGCUUGUUCUUACUCUUUCCUGUCUUUGCCCCUGGCUGGCUUAACACUCCUUGUGGAGUAGUGGAUGGCCUUGAAACUGCAGAUCCUCCUUCCCCCAGGUCCCCGUUGCUGAGGUUAGGGGCAGGGCGUGCACCCCUGUGCUGACAUCAUCUCUGUUCAGACUCAAAUCAGAGCUUCCUGUGUUCUAGGCAAACGCUACCCACUAAGAUACUGACUGACUUUCUUUACUUAGAAAUAUAAAAACGUUCUUUUUUUAAAAAAAUGAACAAGAAUACUAUUCUUACACUCAUUGUAAUUUUACUUGUUACAUUAAUUGUUGUUUUACGUGUUUUUGUGAAUGUGUGUGCAUAAUAUGUGUGUGGGUGUGCAAGUGCUGCAGAACACUUGUGGUCAGAGAGCGCCUUUGUGCAACCCAUUCUUCUUUCUGCAGUGUGGGUUUCAGAAACUCACCGCAAGUCAUUAGGGUUGCUCAGCCAGCACUUUUGCCUCCUGAGCCUUCCUAAAGUGCACCUCUGAGGGAUACUGCAGUUGUAGCUCUUCAUAAUGACUGAGAGGGAUUGUGGAGUUAAGUCAUGGAAGUUUAUAAAUGCCUUUUAUAUGUAUCUUCCUGGCUUAUUUUGUGCCCUGGUGAGCUUUGUUAUCAUGAGCAGGUUGGGAAAUUGUUUUUAAGUAACUACUUUAGUCAACAAAAAAUAUGUAAGGCGAUUCAGUCUAUUUAUGUCUUCCGAGUAUGAAACAUAUGUUCCAAGAAGAAAGAUACGCUUGAAACAAAUGCUAAAGCAUGUGCCGGUAGACUUCCGCAUACUCUUAUUUCAUCUGACAUGUUUUUAUUCUUCCCAUUAGGCUCAAAAACAGCAGAUCCAUGCUGUUAUGGCCACACCCAGUUCCAUCUGAUACCUGACAGACUGAAGAGAGAGAGACUGAUAAGACAGAACCAAGCUGAGCAGGUAGAAGCUGUCUUCAGAGCUAAUGCCAUUGCAAGUCUUUUUGCUUGGACUGGAGCACAAGCUAUGUACC
rnacentral:lncRNA from 1 species